ensembl:lncRNA
UUCUGGCUGGGCAUCUCCCACUUGUGACAAAAGCCUCCUAAAAAUCUGCCAGCCAGGCAGACCCAGCACCCAGAACCUACCAGAAUCAAUUCCGGGGUCAGUGCGUGGGACAGCCCAGGAAUGUCAUGCUGAUGGAGGUCACGAUUCUUGCCCCUUCCAGCCAAACCAUGUACGCAGAACCUGCCCUGCACCCCCAGUGAAAAAAGCUUCAAGGGAAAAAAGAACCACUGUGAGAGGGAAGAAGAUGGGCUCUUGGGAGCUCCUUGCCAUAAAAUGAAAGAACUUCACACUUGAAGGCGUGCUUGCCAGCUCAGCCUACUUGGGUGUCAUUUAUAAGAAGUAGGUUCUCCCUUUGUGCACAAACACCCUUUGAUAUGGUGCUUCUGCCAUAGCCUGGAUUGUUGUUUGCAAGCAGAAUUCACUUUCCUUGUGAGGAAACAAAUCUCCCGUGCCUUUGCGUGUCUGUCAGGAAGUGAAACUGCCUCAGUGUUCUUCCAAGCGUCCUGCCCUGAAUUUCUGAACAACUGGGAGUCAGUGGAGGACCUUCCCAAGCAUGUUCUAUGGCACCUGAGCCUUUGUACUUCGCCCUGCUGUUCCACUAACUGUGUGCCACACUCACUGAGAACGACGGAGGUCCACAGUGCCUAACACAAGAAGUGCCUGCAUUUGUGUAUGUGUCAUCACAUUUUUACAACUGCAUAUCACUAUGUUUGACAGCAUAUAUCAGUAUGUGCACCUGUUUAACUGUAUUUGUGCUUGCCCUUUUUCUUGGCUUUGCGUGAGAUUCUGUGAACAGAUCCUUCUCCAUGCUUUUCCAUGACAGAAGUGCAUCUUUUUUUCUGGGAGAGUUCAAGUGCGGGUCGAACAAUCGAUUCCUCCUCCUUUUCUUUUUUAAGUUUCCUGUCGUUCUUUUGCCCAGAUCAGCACUGAAGGAAAAUAGGAAGGGCAGCCUGGAGUGUGCACGUCUGUACAGCCAGAGACAGAACGCACGGCUGCGUCUGUGUGAGCACACGCAGGAUUUCAUACUUACACAAACACGUACACACACACACACACACACACACACGUAUGUUUGGUCCUGCCUGUCUGUGUGCACCAAACACUGCGGCGUUCUUACAGGACACGUAUUUCAGAGACGGGAAUAAAGCUGGGAAGUGGGAAAAGUUUGGAAGCACUGCUCGGUUCCAAGCCGGACUAUUAACCCUUCCCAACAUUCUCCCCCAGGAACUGCAAAAGCUUUGAAGGAAAUGCUGUAAGAUCCCAGACAGUUCCUACAAUUUUCCACGUGGGGAGAAAGGAGGGUUAUUCUGCGAGCAGCAUUGUUCCAGCACCAUAAAUUCAGCUGAUUAUCCACAAUCCUUACGGCUGCGUUUAGUCUCAUAAAGACCGGGGAAAAUAACAACAAAAACCCAGAAAACGAGAGAAAUUCCCAUCCUGCGUUUUCUGGCAGGAAAUCUGACAGGAUCGUCACAACUCAAAGGAAAGAAUGCGUGUAAACUGGGCUCUGAUUGGAAACACGGCAGGCAGGCAGAGCAGGCAGCGCAGCAGUUCGUUCUGUGCAACUUUGACAGAGGUUUCCAAGAGAGAUGCUCUGAUCUGACGAGCAUCCUCUGGGGCUGCGAGUUGGAACUUUGUGACGCUGGGAACCCAAAUGUGUGCGAGAUGGGCGCUAUUUUGCUGUGAUUCUGCAGAAGGAGCACGGAGACGCUGCCUGUCUGGAGUCCCAUAAAACAGAUCUUUUCCCUGUCAUUAAGAAUAUUGAUGUUCAUUAGGCCCGGGCGUCAAUGAGUCUUUGUGCAAAUGAAACGAAAUCUGAGUCAAAUUGUGACCCUGAGUCCAACACGGAACUGCUCAUCGGCUGCACUCAGGGGUGGGGGAUCAGAGGUUCCCCGGCACCAAAAAUCCACCUCCCCACCUAUGAGACAAAAACCUCCCUGCGGCCACAACCGCGGAGCCGAAGGAAACCUCGAGCCCCCCGCCCCAAACCACCCUGCUCACAACGUCCCUUCUGAUAAAGGUGCUACUUUUAGCAGCCUCUCAAGGUGAGAUCCCCCAUGGAAGACAGGGGCUGCCCCAGCUCCCGGCACAGCAUUCUGCAGGUAAAGCUCCUUCCUUUGAAUGUGCUGCGAGGGCCCUUCUCCCGCUGCCGUGAGUCUGAGGCUGAUGUUCCUGCUGUACAAACUCGGGGCUAAUAAAGCAAGCUCGAGCCUCGUAAUUCACAGCAAGGCGCUUUGACGGAGCACUUUCAGUGUUAACAGUGUGACGGGCGCUUUUUGGAGCUAAUGUCUCACUGAUAUUAACGGCCGUGCCCACGGAGCAAAAUCUGCAAUGUAAAAGCGAGUGGCUUGCUAAAUAUUUACAAGCUCGCACAUCUUGCUGUCCCAUUCAUUUCCUUGACCUUUCAUGCAG